AACGAACGCUGGCGGCAGGCCUAACACAUGCAAGUCGAACGCAUCCUUCGGGGUGAGUGGCGCACGGGUGAGUAACACGUGGGAAUGUAUCCUUUGGUUCGGAAUAACGUAUGGAAACGGACGCUAAUACCGGAUGAGCCCUUAGGGGGAAAGAUUUAUCGCCGAAGGAGCAGCCCGCGUCUGAUUAGGUAGUUGGUGGGGUAAAGGCCUACCAAGCCGACGAUCAGUAGCUGGUCUGAGAGGAUGAUCAGCCACACUGGGACUGAGACACGGCCCAGACUCCUACGGGAGGCAGCAGUGGGGAAUAUUGGACAAUGGGUGCAAGCCUGAUCCAGCCAUGCCGCGUGAGUGAUGAAGGCCUUCGGGUUGUAAAGCUCUUUCGCACACGACGAUGAUGACGGUAGUGUGAGAAGGAGCCCCGGCUAACUUCGUGCCAGCCGCCGCCGUAACAC
rnacentral:rRNA from 1 species